rnacentral:rRNA from 1 species
AUUGAACGCUGGCGGAAUGCUUUACACAUGCAAGUCGAACGGCAGCACGGACUUCGGCCUGGUGGCGAGUGGCGAACGGGUGAGUAAUACAUCGGAACGUGCCCAGUCGUGGGGGAUAACGUAGCGAAAGCUACGCUAAUACCGCAUACGAUCUACGGAUGAAAGCGGGGGAUCGCAAGACCUCGCGCGAUUGGAGCGGCCGAUGGCAGAUUAGGUAGUUGGUGGGGUAAAGGCUCACAAAGCCGACGAUCUGUAGCUGGUCUGAGAGGACGACCAGCCACACUGGGACUGAGACACGGCCCAGACUCCUACGGGAGGCAGCAGUGGGGAAUUUUGGACAAUGGGCGCAAGCCUGAUCCAGCCAUUCCGCGUGCAGGAUGAAGGCCCUCGGGUUGUAAACUGCUUUUGUACGGAACGAAAAGGCUCUGGUUAAUACCCGGGGCUCAUGACGGUACCGUAAGAAUAAGCACCGGCUAACUACGUGCCAGCAGCCGCCGUAACAC